CUAAACCCACUCGAUAUGGAGAAGUCUUACGGUUUGAUAGUUGCGAGUGUUGCAGCUGCUCCUGGAGUCACAGCGAAGAAUGCAAGGUAAUCUUUCUUUUCAAAAACUUGAUGCUUCCACACACAUGCACACAGCUACAAGAAUGCAAGUAAAUUAAAGUUACAGAUAUCCAACAAUUCACGGUGGUACCAGACUAUUUGAAGGUCAAAAUUGAUAACAAAUGUAAAUAUUUUAUUUGUUUCAGGUAUUCAGUUGCUAUAAUAUCACAAACGACUACAAUACUGAAAACUAAACCUGCACCAGAAAUGGCAGUGUUCUCUUCCAUGAGGCCAAAAUCAUAACCCCAGACAUCAUCAAAGUUAGUUAUGCAUAUGUCAAUGUUUUCAUUUAUCUUCUCAAUAAUACAAAAUAGUUAUAAGUUUCAAAAUAGUUAUAAUACAAAAAUAGUUACAUCCAAACAUGCAAAUUUGUACUGCAGCCAGAUAUUACAGGACAUGGGGUAAAUAUCUUAGCAGCAUGGUCUCCGGUCGCAACUACAGCCAAAAAGUUGCGACCUGCUGGGAAUACAAAGUUGGCUCAAUUUGAUAGGUAAUGAUUUUAAUAUCUUUACGCUUAGUUUCAUAAUAAAAGUUAAUAACUUUGCAUGUAAGAGUAGUCCAAUUUGAUAGUGUGCAGUUUUGUGUAGCAGGGUCUCUGUUAGUUUUGAUUAUGGAGAUGAAGAGGCUUAUACUGAUGAUCUUGAUCUGACUUGGAGGCUACUGCAAAACAAUUUCUUAUAGGGGUUCUGAAUCAGAUCAGGAAGCAAUACACUUCAUUAAAAGAGAAGUAGAACUAGAUGAUGAGUAUUGAUGAUUUUUUAAUAAAAUUAAUAGAAUUUUGUCUCCAUUGUAGGUGAAUAAAUUCUUCCAGUUCACUGAUGUGUAAGUAAAUAUUCAAACACUUCAUGUACAAUCCGCCAUGGGAAACAACUUUGAAUGCAACUUCAAUAGAAGAUGCGCGCAGGCGCUAAAUAUAUAUCAAGUUCUAUUUAUUUAUUUAAUAUAAGCUUUUGUUUUCUCAUCUUGCAUGCCCUUUAAUUUAUUUGUAAUCCAG
rnacentral:lncRNA from 1 species